rnacentral:misc_RNA from 1 species
AACGCACCUUGCGCUCCUUGGUAUUCCGAGGAGCAUGCCUGUUUGAGUGUCGUGUAAUUCUCAAUCCCGUUUGGUUUUGAAUUGAACGUGGAUUGGACUUGGGAGCUUGCUGUGCCUGUCUCUUGGUUCGGCUCUCCUUGAAUGCAUUAGCUCGGUCACGUAGUUGCCCGACGGUUCACGGUGUGAUAGUCAUUUCAUCGCCGUUCUGACCGUUUCGGUGCCUGUGUCUGCCGGCUUCUAAUCCGUGUGUUGUCCUUUGUUGGAUAUAUGCACUCUUUGACAAUUGACCUCAAAUCAGGUAGGAUUACCCGCUGAACUUAA